CCGUUGACAAGUAAAUCAUUGUCAGUGUGAAACGAGUAUUGCCCGUAACAGUAUAUUUAGUCGUAGUUCUAAUCAUAGUUCUCGUUUUUAUAAAUAUUUUUCUAAUGUUUCUCGACGAUAUUUAAGAUGCAACCAAGAAAAAUUCGUUGGAUUAUUCAAAUUGAAGAAAAUCCAUGGCAAGGUGAGAGCGUCGAGGAGCAAAUUUCUUGCAUUAAAGAUGAGCGGGAAGAUGUGCAAAAGAAAACGUUUGCAAAAUGGAUAAAUUCGCAAUUACUUAAGAAUCAUCACGAGCCGAUUUCUGAUUUGUUCGUUGAUUUACGAGAUGGCAAUCGGUUAUUGUCUCUCCUGGAAGUUCUCACGUCUAAAGUCUAUAAAAGAGAACGCGGUCGAAUGAGAGUUCAUCAUUUGAAUAAUGUUAAUAAAGCUUUGCAAAUUCUUGAACAAAAUAAUGUAAAACUCGUAAAUAUUAGCAGUAACGAUAUAGUUGAUGGGAAUCCUAAGCUAACACUUGGAUUAGUAUGGAGUAUUAUUCUACACUGGCAGGUACAUUACCAUCUGAAAGAUUUAAUGACAGAACUACAACAGACGAAUUUAGAGAAAACUCUUUUAGCAUGGUGUCGUCAGAAUUCACAGAAUUAUUCUGGAGUUGAUAUUAAAAAUUUUACUACAUCUUGGUCAGAUGGUUUAGCAUUCAAUGCUAUUCUUCAUAAAUGGAAACCGCAUUUAUUUGAUUUUAAUAACAUAGCGCGUAAACAUCCCAAUGCUAGACUAGAUCAUGCAUUUCGUAUUGCUCAGGAACAAUUGGGUAUUGAACGUUUGUUGGAUCCAGAAGACGUGAAUACAUCGGUGCCGGAUAAAAAAUCAAUAAUGAUGUACGUUAUGUGUCUUUUUCAAUCAUUACCUCAUUCUGGAGAUGAUAUAGGCGAAUUAGAUCUAUCAGUAGCAAGUGAUAGUAGCCCGGUUACUACUCCGGGAGCAGAGAAUACAUUAUCUUUUACAAAUUUUGGAACACCAACAUCACGACCGAUGAGUCUUGCAACAAACGUAUCGGUAGAACUUGGUGGUUAUCAAGUUGCUCUCGAGGAAGUUUUGACUUGGCUUUUGGAGGCAGAAGAUAAAUUAAAUCAUGCUCCAGAUCCUGGAUCUACUUUAGAAGUAUUAAAGCAACAAUUUCACGAACACGAAUCAUUUUUGGUAGAAUUAUCCGGCCAUCAAGAUGGUGUUGGUGCUGUAUUGGAAGAAGGUGCGAGAUUAUUAGCGGAAGGCGGUUUACAUAAGGAUGAAGAACACGAAGUUCGUGUUCAAAUGUCAUUAUUAAAUUCUCGAUGGGAAGGACUUCGAAUGCGUGCAAUGGAAAGACAAACUAAAAUUCAUGAGGUUCUUAUGCAAAUGCAACAAGGUCAGUUAGAUGCAUUACGACAAUGGUUAACAAGAACUGAAGAUAGAAUUUCGCGAAUGGCAGCUAUUGAAUUAAAUCAAUCUGCCUUAGAUGAACAACUGAAACAAUUGAAUGAACUAGAGCAAGAUAUUGAGGCACAGCAGGGAGUUGUUGAUGGUAUGAGAAAUAUGGUAGUUGUUGUAGAUGAAGAAAAUUCUGAAGCAGUUUAUGCGCAAAUGGAAGAUCAAUUAUCUGCUCUCGGAGAGCGAUGGACUCACAUUUGUCAAUGGAAAGAAGAAAGGAGACAACGUUUGCAGGCUCUUUCUUCACUUUGGCAAAAUGUUAAUGAUGACUAUAAAAGAUUAGUGUCAUGGUUGAAUGAAACUGAAAUUACUUUAAAACAAAUGGAAGCAAAUCCUGCUUCCGAAAUUGGUGAAGUACUUGAAAGAAUUAAAAAAUUACAAAUAUUAAAAAUGGAUAUGGAUGAAAAUCAAAGAAAAUUAAUGUCCUUACAAGAAUCAAUUCAAGAACUGGAAGGACAAAAUACUUCACCAGAAUGUAUUAAUAUACUAGAAAAAAUCGAAAAUUUGCAAGAUCGAUGGGAAGCAGUGGGACAAAUAAUGGAAGUGCAGACACAAAGGAUAACAAAUUCGGGAUUUGAAUUCGAUUUGAAGACUGAGAGGGAAACAACUGUAGUUACAGGCAAUGAAUGGAUGUCGGAAACAGUAACAAGUAUCGCUUAUAAAGAAGAAAUUACUGCAACUUCUACACCUCAUAGUGAUUCAAAGAAACGUCGCGUAGAUAGUACAAGUAGACAUGAAUUUGAGUCAGCAUUACAUAAUCUGUAUAAAUGGCUCGAUUAUGUUGAUUUAGAAAUUGGACGAUCGGAGGGAGUAUUUGACGAAUUAAGUAUCGAAGAAAAGAAAGUUGUUUAUAAUGAUACAAUUGCUGAUAUAGAAGCACAUAAAAAUGAUUAUGACAAAGUUUUAGAAUUGGGGAAGCAACUUCUCGAAGAAUUAAAAAAUGCUAAUGAAUCGAUUGAAACAGAUGAAACAAAAAUUAAAGAUAUACAGAAUUGUUGGAUGGCAACUAAUAGUAGACUUGAAGAAAUAAGAAAUCGUAUAGAAUAUCUAGAAGAAGUAAAAAAAUUUCGAACAGAACUGGCUAGUUUGAAUUUAAUGUUAGAUAGCUAUUCUAAAUGGUUUGAUUCAAACAAAGGAAACAAUCAAGUGGAACCAUUUAGAGUGAAAUUGAAAUCAAUGAAAUCUCAUGAAGAGCGUAUAAAAAAAUUGUUAGAAAAAGCCAAAGAAUUAUCAGAAAAUCAAACUGGUAUUAAUGAAACUAUCAAUUUAAAUGAAGAUAUACAAAUGUUUGUUUGUAACUGGGAAAAAUUAUAUAAAACAUUAUCUGAAAAAUUAACUGAAUUAAAUGAUGCUGUUGAUAAAACACCGCCGAAGAAAUAUACAGAUGCAGUUACUAAUCUCACUUCUUUUAUUAAUAAUGUGGAAAGUAUGUUAUUAUCAGAACAUAUAGUAAUGUCAGAUGAUAAGACAAUGACAGAACAAUUACGAAAAUUCAGCGAUUUGCAAAAUUCUUUGAGAGAGCAUCAAGAAGUUUAUAAUUAUGUGAACAGUGUUGGACAUGAAUUAAUAAUGAAGACCAAUGGAGAUUCUCAGGGUCAAAGACUUAAAGAUGCAUUACAAGAUCUUAUUACUAAAUGGAGCGAUAUACCCAUAAUAUUAGAAGAACGUCAACAAAAUUUGCAAAAAGAUAUUCAAUCUUUAAAAAUAUUCAAUAAUGAGCUUACAGAGCUUGAAAAUUGGCUUGAAAAAUCAAGCCAAUAUUUAGAAGAAUUAUCAAAAGAUAAUGUAUCAAAUGAUAUUGAAACUAUGGAAUUUAAAUUAAAACAGAUUCAAUCUUUUUGUGAAGAUAUAAAUGAAAUGAAACCAAAAAUAGAAAAACUCCAAAUUUCUACAAAUAAAUUACUUGAAAAUUCUGAACCAAAAUUUGCAAAUGUGUUAAACAAUAAGUUAGAAGUUGUAUCGCAUAAAUGGAAUGCUAUCGUUGACGGUGCUAAAAGUUUAAAUGAUAAGUAUGAGGAUACAUUGAAAAAAAAUGAUGAAAUAAUAAAUGGAAUAGAAGACUUUACAAAAUGGUUAUCAACUUUAGAAAAAGAAAUACCAAUUGAAACCAAAAUAACAUCUUCUGUUGAACUGUUUCAAGUUCGUGGUCGAUAUCAAUCAUUAAAAGAAAAGAUAGAUAAGCGAGUAGAAGAAUUUAGAAAUCUCAAUGAAAUGGGCAAUGAUAAAUUAUUAAGUUCUGAAGGAUCUUCAGUGCAAGAACUUGGUAGACGAUUUACAUUUUUAAAUGCUCGUUGGACCGAUGUUACAGAUCGUAUUUAUGAACGAUAUAGACAUUUACAAAAUGCUAGCCACGAAUAUGGUGAAUUCCGUGCUUUAGUUGCACAAGAAAGUGAUUGGUUGGAUAAAUUAGAUAAAAGAUUAAGAAGAUCAACAGAAAGAGCUGCAGAUGCUGAAGAAAUAUCAGAAGAACUUGAUGAUUUAGAAAAUUAUAUACGAAAUCAUCCAGAAUUAAGACUUGAAAAGAUACAAGAAAUAGGUAAACAGUUGAUUGAAAGUAAUAUCAUGAUUCAGUCCAUUCAAACAGAUGUAGACAAUUUAACAAAUCGUUGGGAAAGCUUAAAUAAUCAGGCAGGGCAGCGAGCAAAGCUGCUAGAAGGAUCAGUGAAGCAAGCACAACAAUCAGAAGGACGUAUUCUUGCCCUUCAGCAUUCCUUAACACAAAUAGAUUCUGUACUAACAGCACGUCUUGACUGCGACCUUACAGCUGAUGAUUUGCCUCAUGAUUAUCAGAAAUUAAUGGAAGAAAUGGAACAUCAACGAUCUACACUUCAAGAAAUGGCAUUACAAAUUGAAUCCUACAAGGCUUCUGGAAAACAAGAAGCAGCACUCAGAUUACAAGAACAACUAACUCUCAUUGAACAGAAAUUCUCUGAAGUUCAACAGAAAUUUCAACGUUUUCGAUGUCCAACGAAUUUAGAACCAAGAUUAUCCAGAGCUUUACGAGAACUUAGAGGAAUAGAAGAAGCAACUUGUUUAUUAGAACUGUCAUCAGAAGAUCCAGAAGCUAUUGAAGGUCAACUUAAACAUUGUCUGCGUUUUUAUCAAACAUUAAGUGAAAUUAAAAGUGAAAUAGAAAAUAUUAUAAUAACUGGUAGAAAAUUAGUUGAAGAAAAAAGUGUCACUGAACCAGAGAAAUUUUCGCGACGAAUUGAUAUGUUAAAAGAAUUAUAUAAUAAGUUGGGUUUACAUAUAACUGAAUCAAAAGCAUGUUUGGAAACAGCAUUGGAUUUAUCACGCGAUAUGUAUAAAAAUAUGUCUUAUAUUAAUAUGUCUAUAGAUAGUAUUAAUAAAGAAUUAGAUAAUCAAAAAAAUAUGCCUGAUCUUCCAGUUAAUGCGAUAUAUGUACGAGAAACCUUGACAGAAGUAAUACCACGAUUAAACGUUGUAAAAGAUAAAUUGUUAAAUUCACAGGAUGAAUUUUCUAAACUUUGCGAUCCUAUGUAUUUAGAACAACUUAAAGAAAAAUUAUCAGAUGUUGUUAUUAGAUUAGCAAAUACUGAAAAAAGAUUAAGAUUAUGUAAUGCUUCAGAGGAAGAGCCUAAUGUUGAUGAAAUAAAAGCAUGGCUUUUACAAGUUGAGGAAAAACUAAAUAAAUUAGAUAGUGUUCCGGUUGAUCAAUUGACGGAAAAUCACUUUGAACAAUGCAAAGCUGUUCAAAGCGAAAUGAUUGAAGCAAAACCAAAAGUCAACCAACUACAACGUUAUACUUAUUACCCGAAAGUUUCAGAUGUUUGUAAAAAAUGGGAGGAUAUAUCUAAUAGAAUUCAAAUACAGACUGAAAAAUUAUCACAAGAAACACAACAUAAAAUAGAGACGAAGAUUUCUAGUGAUAAGAGACCUUUUAAAAUUUCAACUAGUUUAUCCAGAACAGGCUUAGAAAAAAGUAUUUUGGAAUUUGAACAAGCUGCACAACGGAUGUUACAUAGAAUGGAUGUCAUGUUGAUGAGCAUCAGUGGAAUCAGUAAUGAAAAAGAUCCAACUAAACGACUUGAAGUACUAAAAGGAGAAGUUAGUACUCUUGCUCCAGAUGCAGCAGCUUUGAUUAGUAAAGGUGAUGGACUAGUUAUGACAGUACAUAUAUCUGAUCCUGUUAGAGCUGAGAAGAUAAAAAAUGAACAUCAAGAUAAAUUAAGAAGCAAAUGGCAUCAAGUUAUGUCCGAAAUAGAAACGAGACGCACACAAGCACAAAGAGGAGAGGAAAUGUUAAGACAAUAUAAUGCCAUAAUAACAGAAUUUGAAGAUUGGUUUCGAGAUGUACCAUUAAAACUUGAACAAGUAAAUAAUUAUGAGGGGCAAUUAGAAUCUUUUACUGUAGAAUUUGAUGCUAAACAAGAACAGAUUAAAAAAUUAAAUGAAUUAGCGGUUGAAUUAAAAAAAUUAAAUAUUGGGUAUGCUGAAACUAUAAGAUAUAGCAUUAACAGUAGGUGGCAAGAAGUUAGUUCACAAUUUAAAAGAUUUAGUGGUAGUAAGGAUAAGGACAAACAUGUGACAGACAAAAAAGUUGAAGUGGAUGUUGGAGGAGUUGAUAUGCAAGAAUUUACUGCCAGAGUUAAUAAGAUUAGAGAAGCUGUUGUAACUGUAACGAGAUCUUUAAAUUCUGUGCCAUUGAAUGGUGAUGAUUAUGAAAUUUUUUCAAAUCAAGAAGAAUGUUUAAAAAAAAUUAAUAACGCAUUAAAUAUUUUAAAACCAAGCAUUGAAGAAAUCAAUACUAUUUUUGAAAAUGUUGCUUCACAGUUAAGAAGAGAGCAAGGCGAACAAAUUAGACGUUUGAGUGAUAAAUUACGAGAUGAAUGGAUAAAUGUUAAUCAAAGUUAUGUAGAAAGAUAUAAUCGUUGGAAUAAAUGUUAUGAAAAAUGGAAAGAACUUUGCAACACAUGUCGGUCUUUUUCUGAUUGGUUAGAUAAAACGGAAGAUUCAUUAAAAAAAUUAAAUUCUCUUGGUCAAUCUAAAAUAUCAAGAACAAAAAUAUUUGAAUUGGAACAAGAGAUUUCUAGGAUGCAAAGAAUUAUGAAUAAUAUUAACGUUUCAAGUGCUAGUAUUUUAACUCGCGCUAAAGCUGAAGAUAUGAUGGAAUUAAGAGAAAUGAUUGAAACUAUAAAACGACGUUGGCAAAAUAUUAUAACGGACUUAAAUACACGAAAAGAGAAGAAUUUUGCUAUGGAAAAGAAAGUGAACAAUGAAGGCAGAAUUUUAGAAAGUGCUCAUAAUAUAUUAGAGCAAAUCAAUUCUUUAUUGGUGUCAGCAGCAAAUCCUUCAGAUGAGACUUCUUUAUCAAUAAGAUUGUCAUUAAUUAAGGCUAGACAAGAAGAACUUUCUUCUCGCAAAAGAUCAUUACAGAAUUUAAUAAUAAAUCAAAAUGAUAUUUCUUUGGGAGAAGAUGAAUGUAAUAAAUUACUUUCAGAUAUGGAUAAGGCUAAUAUAAGCCUUUCCAAUCACCGUGACUAUGUUGAGAAUAAACUUGUAUCUCUUAAAAAAUAUAUUUGUACUUUGGAUACUAUUAUGGCUUGGGUCAUGGAAACUAGAGCGAGAAUAAAUAUAUCCCGAGAAUUACCUCAACAAGAACGAAUCGAAAUUAUUAACAAUAUUAUGACCAAAGUUGAAGAUCGAGAAAUGGAAGUAAAGGAUGUAUUAGAAAAUUAUACUAAUUUAGAGAAAGAAUGCGAAUCUGCAAAACAACCUAUUUCUGUAGAAUUACAAGAAAAGUUAAAAAAAUUACGAGAAGAUUGGCAAUUUGUGAAAAACAAUGGAGAAUUAUCAAAUUAUGAUGUCAAAACUGCAAUUGCUAUUGGAACGGCGUCAUCAGGGAUCGAAGUGGAAAAGACCGCAGGAGCAGGACCGGGGGCAUCGGGUGCAACUGCGGGGGGCCCUCGGGGGUUGACACCUUCCCCUGCCCCCUCAACACCCUCGACCCCCGUCACCACCACUAGUCCUUCGGUCUGCACAUCCUCGCCUUCGUCCUCGCCUUCACCCUCCUCCUCGCCCUCUGCUCUUGUAGCGGGCUUUGACAAAUCGGUGCUACAGAUACGCGACUGGCUAGCUGUGGAAGAAGAGAUGUUACGGAAACAAGCUGUGGUCGUCGGCGAUGUCGGCGAAAUUAUGGAGGCGCUUGAUAAACAAAUGGAUGUCCUACGAGAGCUGGGGCAGAAAAAGCCGCAGUUGGACGAGCUGGUGCACACGGCGGAAGCGCUUCGCGCGGACACGAAUAGACAGCAAGUGCACGGCAAAGCCUCGAUCCUGUUCUCCGGUAUCCUGUCGCGAAACAUCGUGCACAUGCGUUGCAUCAUCAAAGUUACGAAGCUGAGGGAGCACUGGGACGAGAUGAACUCGAAAAUGAUGCAGAGGAAGACGGAGUUGGACGCGAUGCUCGGGGACAGCCAGCGAUACGAGGCGAAAAGGAACGAGGUGGAGGUCUGGUUGGCGCGAAUGGAGACUCGGCUUGAGAAAAUGCGGGCCGUCGGCCACACCGCCGACGUUCUCGAGGCCCAGCUCCGGGAACAAAAGUCGUUCCACGCCGAGCUCCACCAGUACAAGCAUCAGAUCGAGCAGUUCAAUCAGCUCACGCAGAAGCUGAUCGCCGUUUAUCAAGAGGACGACACGACCCGCGUGAAAAAGAUGACCGAGACCAUCAAUCAGAGAUACAACAACCUCAACACCAGCAUCAUCAAUCGAGGAAAACUGCUUCACUCCGCGAUGAACUCCCUCCACAACUUCGACCGGUCCCUGGACAAGUUCUUGGCUUGGUUGAGCGAAGCUGAGUCCUCGAUGGAGGGAUUGGAAGCGGAGGCCGAUCGUCUAGGCGGGCGACGAGACCAGGGUGCGCUCAGACGACCGCAACAUCAGCUUAAGGUACGUAAGGCGGAGCGAUUCCCUUUUUACUCAUCUCGCCUAUCGGACCUGCAAUCGGAAAUCGAGACGCACCGAGACGUGUACACGUCGUUGAACGGCACAGGCAGGAAGCUGUUGAGCUCUUUGGCGAGCCAAGAUGACGCGGUUAUGCUGCAACGACGACUGGACGAGAUGAACCAGCGAUGGCAUCACUUGAAAGCGAAAAGUAUGGCGAUAAGAAACCGGUUGGAAAGCAAUACGGAACACUGGAACGCUCUUCUGUUGUCUUUGCGCGAGCUUAUCGAAUGGGUGAUCAGAAAAGACACCGAGCUCACCGGUUUGGGCCCUGUUUGCGGGGAUGUAGCCGCCUUACAAAAACAAGAGGACGAUCAUCGCGGGUUCAGGAGGCAGCUCGAGGACAAACGACCGAUCGUCGAGAACAAUUUGCUGAGCGGACGGCAGUACAUCGCCAACGAGCCUCCCCUCUCUGACACGUCGGAUUCCGAAGCCGGAAGAGAAUUGGAUGGCGAUUCGAGGGGCUACAGAAGCGCGGAGGAGCAGGCACGCGAAUUGACGCGCAGCAUUCGCCGGGAAGUGAACAAACUUUCAGAGCAGUGGAACGCCCUAAUCGAACGUAGCGAUGCGUGGAAGCGGAAACUCGACGACACCGCUAACAAAAUAUGCGUGUUCCAAAAGACGCUGGAGGAUCUUUCGUCGCGGAUGGCCGGCGCCGAGGCGAUUCAAAGCGGGUGGCAGAAUCCAAGCGACGCGAACGAGGCGACGGAAUUGCUGAAGCAAUUGGAGAAAUUCGGCGAACGACUGUUGCCCAUCCAGAGGAGCAUCGAGUACGCGAACGAUCAAGCGAGCGUCUUCGCCUCGAGCAGCGUCAUCGUUUCUCAUGCUUUGCUGGCGAAACUCGAAGAUCUCAACACCAGGUGGAAGGUGCUGCAAGUGGCGGUUGACGAGCGUUACAAGUUGCUAAGCGGAUUUGGAAAGGAUGGCAGCACUCCGGGUAGCCAGGCUUUCCUCGCGAGCAGCGUGGAACCACCAUGGGAGAGAGCCCUCACACCCGCCAAAGUGCCUUACUAUAUCAACCAUCAGUCGGAGACCACCCAUUGGGAUCAUCCGAAAAUGAUAGAGCUGAUGUCCUCGCUGGCGGACCUGAACGAAGUACGAUUUUCAGCGUACAGAACCGCCAUGAAACUGCGCACCGUUCAGAAACGAUUGUGCCUGGACAUGUUGAGCCUUUCCACCGCGUUAGAGCAAUUCGAUUCGCACGGGCUCCGAGCGCAAAACGACAAACUAAUCGACAUUCCCGACAUGGUGACAGUCUUGACGUCCCUGUACGAAGUGAUAACGGCGGACAACCCGACGCAAGUGUCUGUCCCCUUGUGCAUCGAUUUGGCCAUCAAUUGGCUCCUCAACGUGUACGAUAGUAAAUUGUCAUUGUCGUAUUUCAGUCAACGAACCGGUCAGAUUCGCGUGCUUUCCUUCAAAGUUGGUUUGGUCCUGUUGUGCAAGGGUCAUUUGGAAGAAAAAUAUCGAUAUCUAUUCCGGCUGAUCGCUGAUCCAAACAGAUUGGUGGAUCAACGAAAGCUCGGUUUAUUGUUGCACGACUGCAUCCAAGUGCCGAGGCAGUUGGGAGAAGUGGCGGCGUUUGGCGGGUCGAACAUCGAGCCGAGCGUUCGCAGCUGCUUCGAGAAGGCUGGAAAAGACAAAAAUGAAAUAGAAGCGGUUCACUUUUUGAGCUGGCUGCAACAAGAGCCGCAGAGUAUGGUUUGGUUGCCUGUGCUUCAUAGACUCUCCGCCGCGGAGAGCGCAAAGCAUCAAGCGAAAUGUAAUAUAUGCAAGGAGUAUCCCAUUAUUGGAUUCAGGUAUUCAUGUGCUUGAAAUGCUUCAAUUUCGACAUGUGCCAGAACUGUUUCUUCUCAGGCAGGAAAGCGAAGAACCACAAGUUGACGCAUCCGAUGCAGGAAUAUUGCACCGCGACCACAUCUGGCGAGGACGUGCGCGACUUUACGAGAGCGCUUCGGAAUAAAUUCAAGUCGAAGAGAUACUUCAAAAAGCAUCCAAGAGUCGGUUAUCUGCCGGUGCAGACCGUUUUGGAGGGAGACGCGUUGGAAAGCCCGGCGCCGUCGCCGCAACAUAGCUCCCUCAGCCAGGACAUGCACUCCCGGCUGGAGAUGUACGCAUCCCGGUUGGCGGAAGUCGAACUAUCGCGCACAAGAAGCAACUCGACACCGGACAGCGAUGACGAGCAUCAGCUGAUCGCUCAUUAUUGCCAGAGCUUGAACGGGGGC
rnacentral:misc_RNA from 1 species